UGCUCACGUGAAGUGCAUAUUACAUAAAAGUGCACUAGUCUAUUUUGUUAGAAAUAAAAAUGUAUAACAGGUCGAAAAAGGUAUAGCGGAUGAUUACUUUUGUGAUUUAAAAAUAAUGUCAGCAUGCCAAAAAUUAAUUUUGUAUUUAAUAAUUCAUCAAAUGAAACGCUGUACUAAUGUGGAAUAACAAUUUAACAAUAUCUGUCAGGUCUCCACAAAUAAUUUUUGUAACAUUAUUUGUCUAUAAAUAACUUUAAAAUUAUUAAAUCUGAAAAUAAUCAUUUGAUCUGAAUAUUUAAUUAUUACGUUAAUUUAGAAGUAUACUGUUUAAAUUUAAACCAACCAUUACUCAAUAUGGACAAAAAAAAAAAAAAUGUCGAAUGGAAUCUUUUAAAGAUAAAAGGAAAUUAAGGAAAAAACUGUAGUCAGAACCAAAGGCAUUGAAUUUAAAAUGAAUGAAAUUACAUCACAUUGCGUCAUUACGUUUAAAGUGCAUCCACACAAAGGAAACUUAACUGUAAAAUAUCGUAUAAUUCAACGAGGAGUUGUGACACUCCCAUGCAGUUCGUAUUAUUAUUUGGUAUAACAAACAGUAGAUAUUUUUUAACUUGAAUGUGCAUGUCACUAUGGCAGGCGGCCGAUCAUUCAACUUUGAAAAUAGGCGUACGAUUGUUCAUAUUAUUAAAAACUUGUUUUACAUUGAUACAAUACAUUGUAACAACCAACAGUUGUAUAGGGAUUAAGCAUUACCUUACUUCUGUAUGUGAUCCAAUGAUUAUUACUAGUAAUGACAAAGAUAUAUUGAUUUUUCAAUUCAGUAUAUCGCGAAUUUUACAUCUAUAUUUAAUGGCUGAUGUAUCGUUAGCCUCAAUACAUUAUUAUGCAGAAUAUAUAAUAUAUAUCAUGAUUUAUUGAAAUAAAAUAUUAUCUCUUUUUUGAAUUUAUGACUUGUAUUUGAUGUUUUAGAUGGUUUUCAUAAACUAUCUGAAAUUUUGAUUUAUAAGAGUUAUUAGGAAUUAAAGCCAAAAAUCAUAAAAUUUUGGAUAAAAAUUGCCCAUUUGUAUGUGUUUUACAUUGCAAAGGAACAUUUACAUUUAAAACUAAAUAAAUUGUAUGAGUAAUCAACCUUUAAAGUUGAAAGUCACGUAAUGUAUGGUUUAUGUGAUAAUAUUUCAUACGCAUCGAAGCGUUUUACGUCAGUGAUUUCAAUUAGAUAUCAAUUGAUUCUAAUUUAGAAAUAUGCUUCAACUGUUUACAAUUUA